rnacentral:rRNA from 1 species
UACGUAGGGUGCAAGCGUUAAUCGGAAUUACUGGGCGUAAAGCGUGCGCAGGCGGUGAUGUAAGACAGAUGUGAAAUCCCCGGGCUCAACCUGGGAACUGCAUUUGUGACUGCACAGCUGGAGUACGGCAGAGGGGGAUGGAAUUCCGCGUGUAGCAGUGAAAUGCGUAGAUAUGCGGAGGAACACCGAUGGCGAAGGCAGUCCCCUGGGCCUGUACUGACGCUCAUGCACGAAAGCGUGGGGAGCAAACAGG